AUGGAGACGAUUAAGGCACGGGUCGGAGAGCAGUUGCAGAUGCUACAAAACGUGGGCGACAAGCUGAGUAAGCUCCAUGAUCUCUUUCGUCGAUUGGAUUCUUUGGAUCAGCAGUUUGCAGCGCAAGCCGAGCAGAUGCACAUUGUACAGAACAACGUCAGUCUCACGAUGAAGUCAAUCGGAGAAAUCAGACAGGUGCAGGCAGCGGCUGCUCGGGAAGUGGGUUCCAAACAAUCCGCUCAGGGUUCGUUUGCAGGUGAUGGAAUCCUUGGUACGCCACCACAUCAGCAGCGUCCACCAGUUACACCAGUUCCACCACCGGUGUUUGUACCUCAGCCUGUACAUCACGAAGCAGAGCAUUCUAUGGCCGAAUUUCAGUCGAAGAAACCCUGGAUGCCCAAGAUGGAUUUUCCUCGCUUCGAGGGGGAAGAUGUGCGCAUAUGGCUAGAUGGGUGUGAGGCGUAUUUUUCAUUGUAUGCCAUUCCUGAGGAAUUCAAGGUCGCGUCAGCCACAUUGCAUCUGUCAGGUGAUGCAGCCAACUGGUUUCAUGCUUACAAGGCCUUGCAUCAGUGGCCAUGCUGGAAUGAGUUUCGUGUGGCUGUCAUGCAGGAGUUUGAUUUGAAUGUCCAUCGCACAAAGAUGAGAGCUCUUUUGUUACUCAAGCAGUCCGGAUCAGUAGCAGAGUACAAAAGGGAAUUCACCCAGUUGGUGUAUCAACUUCUGUUAUAUGAAAUGACAGUGAGUGACACAUUCCUGGUGACACGGUUCAUCUUAGGUCUCAAAGAGGAACUCCGGGCUGCUGUGGACAUGCAGAUACCAGCCAAUGUCAGUGAAGCAGCAUCAUAUGCACUUAUCCAGGAAGAGAUUGUCCAACGUGCUCGCUCCAAUAGAAGUGUUGGCAAUAGAAAUACAUUAUUCAAGCCUGACACACGUCUAAACACACCACCUGCGGGAGAGUUGUGGAAGGCAAGACAUCUGAAGGAGUAUAGGCGCACUAAUGGCCUAUGUUUCAGUUGUGGUGACAAAUACACACCCGAUCAUACGUGUGUGAAGCCACCCACUCCUACUGCAAUCAUGGCCAUGACAAGUGCAGCCUAA
rnacentral:rRNA from 1 species